CUUACGGGAGGCAGCAGUAAGGAAUAUUGGUCAAUGAACGAAAGUCUGAACCAGCCAUGCCGCGUGCAGGAUGACAGCCCUACGGGUUGUAAACUGCUUUUAUAUGGGAAGAAUCCCCUGUACGUGUACAGGGUUGACGGUACCGUAUGAAUAAGCAUCGGCUAACUCCGUGCCAGCAGCCGCGGUAAUACGGAGGAUGCAAGCGUUAUCCGGAUUCAUUGGGUUUAAAGGGUGCGUAGGCGGAAUGAUAAGUUAGUGGUGAAAUCCCUCGGCUCAACCGAGGAACUCCCAUUAAUACUGUCAUUCUUGAGUAUAGUUGAAGUGGGCGGAAUGUAUCAUGUAGCGGUGAAAUGCUUAGAUAUGAUACAGAACACCAAUAGCGUAGGCAGCUUGCUAAGCUAUAACUGACGCUCAGGCACGAAAGCGUGGGGAGCAAACAGGAUUAGAUACCCUGGUAGUCCACGCCGUAAACGAUGAUCACUCGCUGUUGGCGAUACACAGUCAGCGGCUUAGGGAAACCUUUAAGUGAUCCACCUGGGGAGUACGGUCGCAAGAUUGAAACUCAAAGGAAUUGACGG
rnacentral:rRNA from 1 species